CAACAAACACUUUUCGUGUCCUGCUGUAUAAAAGACAUCAGCUAUAUUACAGAUUUUAAACAGCAGGUGCCUUAUUCCUGCCCUUCUUUGUGCCUGCUGGACAAGCCUCUCUCCUCUUUCUUUUGCUGACUACAAGGAGUGGGACAGGGCACCUGAGACUCCGGCAACCCCAAGUGCCAACAUUGACCUGGCCCCUUACGUUUAGCUGCUCAUGUCUCCCUCACCCUUCUGGGGCCCCUCAUCAGCAUUUUCUUCUGGUGAUCUCUGACAUCUCCAAGGCCUAGACCACUCUAGGGUUUUGUAGGGAAUUGAGGUCUUUCUGUGCUGACCUCUAGGGCCACAUUAGAGUGCAGUUUUCACUGUUCUGUUAAACUAGUUUUCAUUCCUCCAUCAAAAUUGUGAAGCAGGGCUUUUGCUGAUGACUCCUCCUCUGUCUUCUUUGCCCCAAUGGAUUUAUCCCUUUAUGUUCUUUUACCGUCCUUUUUAGGGAAGAAUGAAGGUAAACAAAUGUGUUUAAUCCUUUAAUCUGAAGUCCGUUUCCAAAAUUACACAAAAGUUUUUACCAAACUGUCCCAACUUUGUUUGCGCAAA